rnacentral:rRNA from 1 species
UACGUAGGGGGGCAAGCGUUGUCCGGAAUCAUUGGGCGUAAAGAGCGUGUAGGCGGCUUGGCAAGUCUGACGUGAAAGCCCGCGGCUCAACCGCGGAUUGUCGUUGGAAACUGCCUCGCUAGAGUCCGGAAGAGGAGAGCGGAAUUCCUGGUGUAGCGGUGGAAUGCGCAGAUAUCAGGAAGAACACCCGUGGCGAAGGCGGCUCUCUGGGACGGUACUGACGCUGAGACGCGAAAGCGUGGGGAGCGAACAGG